CCAAUAGCGUAUAUUAGUGUUGUUGCGGUUAAAAAGCUCGUAGUUGAAUUUCGGGAUUGGGAUAUAUCGGUCGUGCCUUUAGGGGCAUGAAUCAGUGUGUGGCCAAUUCUCACCUUCUGGUGAAUUGGGAUGCUCUCGGGUGUUUCAAUGAACUAGGACUUUUACUUUGAAAAAAUUAGAGUGUUUAAAGCGGGCAUUUUUGCUUGAAUACGUUAGCAUGGAAUAAUAAAAUAGGACGAUGGUUCUAUUUUGUUGGUUUUAGGACCACGUAAUGAUUAAUAGGGAUAGUUGGGGGCAUUAGUAUUCAAUUGUCAGAGGUGAAAUUCUUGGAUUUAUUGAGGACUAACUACUGCGAAAGCAUUUGCCAAGGAUGUUUUCAUUAAUCAAGAACGAAAGUUAGGGGAUCAAAGACGAUUUAUGUACGUAGUAGUCCUAACCAUAAACUAUGCCGACUAGGAAUCAGACAAAGUUAAUUUUUUAACGACUUGUUUGGUACCUUACG
rnacentral:rRNA from 1 species